rnacentral:tRNA from 1 species
GCCCCCAUAACUCAAUGGUAGAGUAACAGCCUCUUAAGCUGUGAGUUGGAGGUCCGAGUCCUCCUGGGGGCACAA